GUAUUUAAUCUAAAAAAGACUUCUGAUUUCGACCCAGAAAAUUUUGGUUAAUUCCAAAAAUACU
rnacentral:tRNA from 1 species